UUUGUUUUUGUUUUUGUUCUCUCAUAGGUCAUUGAAACUAUAACCCACUAAGUCCCAACAAAUUAAAAAAUAUCUCUUUAUUAUUAUUAUUUUUGUUUGUUUCUUCUUCUUACUUCAAUCUCAAGCAGAACGUUUUGUGUUACAUUAAAAGUGCUAGAAAGUCGGGAGUAAAUAAAGCUCUCGCUUCUUUUCAGUUACUUUCAUUUAUUUUUCUUAUUUGUUUUGUUUUUUCUCUUCAAACUUUAAUUUAUUUUCUCUAUCACUUUUAUUUUCUCUGAAAGUUUCCACAAAGUCUGAAACUUUUCUGAUAUUUGAGUGAGUUAUGCUGAAGAAGAGAUCAAGAAGCAAGCAAGCUUCGUUAAUGGCGGAUACCAACCAGAAACAGAGUAAACCAACGCCGUUUCCACGGCUCUUCACAGCUUUCAGCAGCUUUAAAAGCUUCACUGAAAACGACGCCGUGGCGAGUCCCACCUCCAUCCUCGACACAAAACCUUUCACCGUUUUGAAAAACCCUUUUGGAUCCGAUAACCCGAAACCCUACGAACCCGAGACCCGGCUCAAGCUCGAACCCAAAAGAAUCGGACUCGCUAUUGUCGAUUCUCUCGUCCAAGAAGAAAACCAAGAACCCGGGUUCUCCCGACCAAGAUCCGGGACAAUUAUAUUCGGGUCUCAGCUCCGGAUCCGGGUUCCGGACCCUCCACGUUCUUCGUCGGAUUUUGGGAUCAAAACGAAGAAUCCUCCGGUCUCCCCUUCGCCGGAAGAGAUGAAGAAAACGGUUUCCGGGUCGGGUCUUGCGUCGCCCCGUAUCUUCACCGGCUAUUUCUCGACCAGCGAUAUGGAAUUAUCGGAAGAUUACACGUGCGUUACGUGUCACGGGCCUAACCCGAGAACGAUCCAUAUAUUCGAUAACUGUAUCAUUGAGAGCCAACCCGGUGUCGUUUUGUUCAGGAGCUCCGACCCGGUUAACGAAUCGGAUUGUUUACCAUCCGACAGCUUUCUCAGUACCUGUUGUAACUGUAAGAAGGAUCUUGGACCUCGUGAUGACAUUUUCAUGUACAGGGGAUAUAGAGCCUUCUGUAGCAGCGAAUGCAGGUCACUGGAGAUGAUGUCGGAGGAAAAUGACAUUUAAUGAAAUAAGCGUAUUGAGAUAAUAUAAAAAUGUUAUGAUGGUGUCUAAAAUUAAAACGUUCUAGUAUUAAGAAAAUGAAAAUGUUAGAUAUAAAUUUUGUUUAAUUGCUUUUUGUUUGCUCGGGGCAGAGAUGGUGUCUAUAUCUAUGUGUAGUAUGUGUCUACAUGGCAUAAUCAUAUACAUAUUUUGCUUUAA